AUACGUAGGGGGCGAGCGUUGUCCGGAAUUAUUGGGCGUAAAGGGUUCGCAGGCGGUCUGAUAAGUCAGAUGUGAAAGGCAAUGGCUCAACCAUUGUAAGCAUUUGAAACUGUCAGACUUGAGUUAAGGAGAGGAAAGUGGAAUUCCUAGUGUAGCGGUAAAAUGCGUAGAUAUUAGGAGGAAUACCAGUGGCGAAGGCGACUUUCUGGACUUAUACUGACGCUGAGGAACGAAAGCGUGGGGAGCAAACAGGAUUAGAUACCCUGGUAGUCCACGCCGUAAACGAUGAGUGCUAGGUGUUGGGGGUCAAACCUCGGUGCCGCAGCUAACGCAUUAAGCACUCCGCCUGGGGAGUACGUACGCAAGUAUGAAACUCAAAGGAAUUGACGGGG
rnacentral:rRNA from 1 species